rnacentral:rRNA from 1 species
ACUCCUACGGGAGGCAGCAGUGGGGAAUCUUGGACAAUGGGCGCAAGCCUGAUCCAGCCAUGGCCGCGUGAGUGAUGAAGGCCCCUAGGGUCGUAAAAGCUCUUUCGCCAGGGAUGAUAAUGACAGUACCCUGGUAAAGAAACCCCGGCUAACUCCGUGCCAGCAGCCGCGGUAAUACGGAGGGGUUAGCGUUGUUCGGAAUUACUGGGGCGUAAAGCGCGCGUAGGCGGACUGGAAAGUUGGGGGUGAAAUCCCGGGGGCUCAAACCCCGGAACUAGCCUCCAAAACUACCCACGUCUUGAGUUCGAGAGAGGUGAGUGGAA